rnacentral:rRNA from 1 species
CCGGCGACCGGCGCACGGGUGAGUAACGCGUAUCCAACCUUCCGUACACUCAGGGAUAGCCUUUCGAAAGAAAGAUUAAUACCUGAUGGUAUGAUGAGAUUGCAUGAUAGCAUCAUUAAAGAUUUAUCGGUGUACGAUGGGGAUGCGUUCCAUUAGGUAGUAGGCGGGGUAACGGCCCACCUAGCCAACGAUGGAUAGGGGUUCUGAGAGGAAGGUCCCCCACAUUGGAACUGAGACACGGUCCAAACUCCUACGGGAGGCAGCAGUGAGGAAUAUUGGUCAAUGGACGAGAGUCUGAACCAGCCAAGUAGCGUGAAGGAUGAAGGUCCUACGGAUUGUAAACUUCUUUUAUAAGGGAAUAAAGUGAGUCUCGUGAGAUUUUUUGCAUGUACCUUAUGAAUAAGGACCGGCUAAUUCCGUGCCAGCAGCCGCGGUAAUACGGAAGGUCCGGGCGUUAUCCGGAUUUAUUGGGUUUAAAGGGAGCGUAGGCCGGAGAUUAAGCGUGUUGUGAAAUGUAGAUGCUCAACAUCUGCACUGCAGCGCGAACUGGUUUCCUUGAGUACGCACAAAGUGGGCGGAAUUCGUGGUGUAGCGGUGAAAUGCUUAGAUAUCACGAAGAACUCCGAUUGCGAAGGCAG